GCGGGAGUUUCAACCGGAAGUGAAGACCAGGACAAGGAUGAACAUCCAGGACUGAGUUUGUGUGAAAUCCUCAAUCGCUGACUGACUUCACUCACCUUUACUCCAGAGUUCAGACCCGUCUCUGUCCGUGCACGCUGUCUGAGCUCUUUGUCCACCGGGUGGCGCCCUCCUCCUGCAGACGGAGCGUGCUGUCUGCAGCUGUUAGCGGGCGGAUUUAUCUGCAGCAGCAGUGAAACAGAACAAAGUGCCAUCUGUGUUUUUACACUCCACAGAGCGCGCUCUUCAUCACCCGGCUCCAAAUUAAUAAAGUCAUCCAGAAAAAGAA